rnacentral:lncRNA from 1 species
GCGCGCGCGCGCGCAAGCGAGUGGCCGGCCGAGCGAGAACGCACAUAGUACGCCGCGUACGGAUUGGAAUGGAACGCGUCGCGGACCUCGACGAAGGAAGUGUUGGGGAAAUAGAGAAAGAGAGAUAUAGCUGAGUGACAGAAAAAUAAGUGAAAGGGAAGAUUCGUGUUAUGGAAGAGAAACGAGAAACAGGAUCACCCGAGUGGAUAACGGACGAAUGGGUGUCCUCCUGCUUAAAAAGGAAGGAUCGUGUCGGGGACACCUGUGAAUUUAGUGUAUUAUCAUAGUACGAAGGACUUUCAUUUGUCCUUCUUCUCCAAAACUCGCCUCUGGAGCUUGCGAUAUUGCGAGACACGAGAGCGUGAAAUUAGAAGAAAAAAAAUGGUUGGAUUUUGUUGGAGGGAUGAUCAUACGAGAGGAACGACAACAACGACGAGGCAAACAAAAACAGCGUAGCGCUCGAUAGAUUGCGAUCGUUCGAAGAAAAA